ACCCCUUCCUUCCCUCACUCUGCCACUAGUCACCCCUUCCCUCACUCUGUCACCAGUCAUUCCCUCACUCUAGUGACAGAGUGAGGGAGAGGGUGACUAGUGACAGAGUGAGGUAGUGAUUAGU